AGUGAACGCUGGCGGUAGGCCUAACACAUGCAAGUCGAACGGCAGCACAGUAAGGGCUUGCUCUUACGGGUGGCGAGUGGCGGACGGGUGAGGAAUACAUCGGAAUCUACUUUUUCGUGGGGGAUAACGUAGGGAAACUUACGCUAAUACCGCAUACGACCUACGGGUGAAAGCAGGGGAUCUUCGGACCUUGCGCGAUUGAAUGAGCCGAUGUCGGAUUAGCUAGUUGGCGGGGUAAAGGCCCACCAAGGCGACGAUCCGUAGCUGGUCUGAGAGGAUGAUCAGCCACACUGGAACUGAGACACGGUCCAGACUCCUACGGGAGGCAGCAGUGGGGAAUAUUGGACAAUGGGCGCAAGCCUGAUCCAGCCAUACCGCGUGGGUGAAGAAGGCCCUCGGGUUGUAAAGCCCUUUUGUUGGGAAAGAAAAGCAGCAGGUUAAUACCCCGCUGUUCUGACGGUACCCAAAGAAUAAGCACCGGCUAACUUCGUG
rnacentral:rRNA from 1 species